CCUCACCCCCUUAAAAUAAAUCUCGACCCGAGAUUUACUGAAAUAAGUAAGGGUAUUUUUCUUUCAUCGUGGCUUCAACCUCCCACGUGAAUUCGGGACCUCUACGGGCAUCCCAUUUGACCUUAACAAUAGGUACAUGCUUCCUUCGAAGCUUCUUUACCUGUCGAUCUUCAAUCGACAAAGAAAUGAGACGUGUAUCUAGUAUCUCGGUCGGAGAUAAUAGACACAGGUAUGCCAUGUAAG
rnacentral:lncRNA from 1 species